rnacentral:rRNA from 1 species
UACAGAGGUCUCAAGCGUUGUUCGGAUUCAUUGGGCGUAAAGGGUGCGUAGGCGGCGCGGUAAGUCGGGUGUGAAAUUUCGAGGCUUAACUCCGAAACUGCAUUCGAUACUGCCGUGCUUGAGGACUGGAGAGGAGACUGGAAUUUACGGUGUAGCGGUGAAAUGCGUAGAUAUCGUAAGGAAGACCAGUGGCGAAGGCGGGUCUCUGGGCCGAAAUUGACGCUGAGGAGCGAAAGCGUGGGGAGCAAACAGG